rnacentral:misc_RNA from 1 species
GAUGAAGAACGUAGCGAAAUGCGAUAAGUAAUGUGAAUUGCAGAAUUCAGUGAAUCAUCGAAUCUUUGAACGCACCUUGCGCUCCUUGGCAUUCCGAGGAGCAUGCCUGUUUGAGUGUCAUUAAAUUCUCAAGACCUGUCUGCUUUUUUGAUAGGUAUUGGAUUUUGGGGGUUGCAGGCUGUUUCAAAUAAAUAGCCUUGCUCUCCUUGAAUGUAUUAGUGGAGAAAAGCCAUUGAACUCCAUUGGUGUGAUAAAACCUAUCAAUGCCAGGAGCAAUAUCACUACUUCUCUCUGCUGUCUAACUGUGACUGUCUGUAUUAAUUAGUAUGGAUGGGGACAACAUGACCAACUUGACCUCAAAUCAGGUAGGACUACCCGCUGAACUUAAGCAUAUCAAUAAGCGGAGGA